rnacentral:lncRNA from 1 species
GCACACCCGGCCUCGCCUCCGCCGGCCGGAGGGAGAUUGUGUGCCUGUCAGUGUACGCUGUCAGCGCCGUGCCGGGGCUCGCCUGGGGAGGGGGAAGGCGGCGGCUUGUGCAACGGGGACUGCUGGAGGGGGGCGGUCAGCGCUCCCUCCCGUCUUCCCGCAGCGGGAGCGCCCCCGCGCCGCUCCACGAGCAGUGGAUUAAAGGCGACGGGCGAGCGGGCGCCUCUGAGGGGCAGUGAGGGCGCCCAGUGCCCGGCUCCCGUCUUCUCCCUGCGGCGUCUCGGCCUGGCGGCUCCUGUCUGUGCGCGCGCGGCUCGCUGUGCAGCUGUACGCCCAGUGGCCCUGAGAGGAGCUGCCAAGCUUAACUUUCAACACAGAGGAACAUGUUCCUAGCGUGACUAUAGAAAAGCCGCCCCUGCCCGGGCAGAGCCGCACGGCCCGCCCCCGCGGAACCUGUUCUACCCGUAGGUGCCUUUCCUUCGCCGUUCGCCAGGCCGAGCUGUCCCAGCGCAAACACCCGGGCCAGUAUCACUGUCGUCGCACCAGGGGCAAGUUUGUCUCUUGGUGCCGAAGCUGCGGUCUCAAAACAUCCAAUUGUUCGCAUGUUCUAGAGCACUGGAGAAAGGGCUGUUAGAUCGAGUUCUCUGGCACUGGAGUGUGUGUCUUGGACAGUUGGUAAUCGCUCUGCUUUAAAGCUUCAGUACAUUGCUGUUUGGGGGGGAACUGUGGUAAAGUAUUCCACGUGUAUUCUGAUCCUCUGGAAGAUAUGCAUCAGAAUCACAAAACAUUAUGAAGUUUAUUGUGUAUGAAAAUUCUGCUCUCUAUAUUGCCCAGAGUUGAAGGCCCUAUCUUGGUGGGUGUUUGUUGGGUUUUUUGUUUCUUUGUUUGUUUUUGAAAUUUUAGAUAUUUUGACAGCAGGUAAAUGUGAAAAGCUAAAGCUAGGUAAUAUCCUCA